GGUUGUAUAUCUCGGUGGUAGAGUGAGUGCUUAACAAGCACGAGGUUCUAGGUUCAAUCCCCAGGACCUCCA
rnacentral:tRNA from 1 species